rfam:Macleaya cordata isolate BLH2017 scaffold1523, whole genome shotgun sequence.
GAGCAAGGUCGUCAAUAAAUUAUAAUGACGUAACAUUUGCAUUGAAGGUUGGCAAUAAAGAUAAGCGAUUCUCCGUGCCUUUCAAAUUUCUCAUGUUUUGAUUACGGCCUCGAACAAGUCGCUACAUU